AUUGAACGCUGGCGGAAUGCUUUACACAUGCAAGUCGAACGGUAGAGGGGGCAACCCCUUGAGAGUGGCGAACGGGUGAGUAAUAUAUCGGAACGUGCCCAGUCGUGGGGAUAACGUAGCGAAAGUUACGCUAAUACCGCAUACGAUCUAAGGAUGAAAGCGGGGGAUCGCAAGACCUCGCGCGAUUGGAGCGGCCGAUAUCAGAUUAGGUAGUUGGUGAGGUAAAGGCUCACCAAGCCAACGAUCUGUAGCUGGUCUGAGAGGACGACCAGCCACACUGGAACUGAGACACGGUCCAGACUCCUACGGGAGGCAGCAGUGGGGAAUUUUGGACAAUGGACGCAAGUCUGAUCCAGCCAUUCGCGUGCAGGAUGAAGGCCCUCGGGUUGUAAACUGCUUUUGUACGGACGAAAAAGGUUUCUAUUAAUACUAGGAGCUCAUGACGGUACCGUAGAAUAAGCACCGGCUAACUACGUGCCAGCAGCCGCGGU
rnacentral:rRNA from 1 species